rnacentral:lncRNA from 1 species
AUAAAGCAUCCAGCCAAGUGAGGGAAUAAUGCAUACUGACUACUCAGGAAGUAGCACUGCAGAUGCCACACUCUUGAAUCAGCCCAUAUUUUAACUGUAAGUAGCACACUGAAAAUCAGCAGUAAGAGAAUGAAGAAACUGGAGUCAAGACAGGGUCCAGUAGAGAGAGAGAAAAAAAACCCACUGUUUUGGAUUGUUCUUUCACAUCCUAAGCAAUCAUGAAUGUUACAGAACUAGAAUCUGGACUUCUUUUAGCUACAUGCUCAAGAUUAAAAGCAAAUGACAGGGAGAAUGCAAGAAGGGAUUGCUGGGAAGAAGGCCAGAGGAAAUUGGAGUGAGAAAUUCAAAAUGUAUGCAAGAGUUUGUCUAAGGAGAAUCAAAACUACUAUGUUUAGAAAAGGUUGAAAUUUCAUUAUUUUGCAAGAGUUACAUCAACAACUGCAAAAGCUUCAGGAAUUCCAGCCCUUUGGAUUGAAACUCUUGCCUGGAGCAUUAAGAACUUGGGGGAGAAAUCACUACUCACUGCUUUGCUCGCAAUUCUCAUUUGGACUAGCGCUUGCAGAAACUGAGCUGAACUUUCCGCACUGUUAUUGCAUCUGUAAGGUAA